UUACUGUGAUGACUACUUAGGACACCUUUGGAUUUCCCAUGAAAAUAAAAAGAUUUGAUCUGAGCUAC
rnacentral:snoRNA from 1 species